rnacentral:rRNA from 1 species
GAUGAACGCUGGCGGCGUGCCUAAUACAUGCAAGUCGAGCGAACAGACGAGGAGCUUGCUCCUCUGACGUUAGCGGCGGACGGGUGAGUAACACGUGGAUAACCUACCUAUAAGACUGGGAUAACUUCGGGAAACCGGAGCUAAUACCGGAUAAUAUAUUGAACCGCAUGGUUCAAUAGUGAAAGACGGUUUUGCUGUCACUUAUAGAUGGAUCCGCGCCGCAUUAGCUAGUUGGUAAGGUAACGGCUUACCAAGGCGACGAUGCGUAGCCGACCUGAGAGGGGGAUCGGCCACACUGGAACUGAGACACGGUCCAGGCGCCGACGGGAGGCAGCAGUAGGGAAUCUGCCGCAAUGGGCGAAAGCCUGACGGAGCAACGCCGCGUGAGUGAUGAAGGUCUUCGGAUCGUAAAACUCUGUUAUUAGGGAAGAACAAAUGUGUAAGUAACUAUGCACGUCUUGACGGUACCUAAUCAGAAAGCCGCGGCUAACUACGUG